rnacentral:rRNA from 1 species
GUACACUCCUACGGGAGGCAGCAGUGGGGAAUUUUGGACAAUGGGCGAAAGCCUGAUCCAGCAAUGCCGCGUGUGUGAAUAAGGCCUUCGGGUUGUAAAGCACUUUUGUCCGGAAAGAAAUCCUUGGCUCUAAUACAGUCGGGGGAUGACGGUACCGGAAGAAUAAGCACCGGCUAACUACGUGCCAGCAGCCGCGGUAAUACGUAGGGUGCGAGCGUUAAUCGGAAUUACUGGGCGUAAAGCGUGCGCAGGCGGUUUGCUAAGACCGAUGUGAAAUCCCCGGGCUCAACCUGGGAACUGCAUUGGUGACUGGCAGGCUAGAGUAUGGCAGAGGGGGGUAGAAUUCCACGUGUAGCAGUGAAAUGCGUAGAGAUGUGGAGGAAUACCGAUGGCGAAGGCAGCCCCCUGGGCCAAUACUGACGCUCAUGCACGAAAGCGUGGGGAGCAAACAGGAUUAGAAACCCGAGUAGUCCCAU